UACGAAGGGGGCUAGCGUUGUUCGGAAUUACUGGGCGUAAAGGGCGCGUAGGCGGACUGUUAAGUCAGAGGUGAAAGCCCAGGGCUCAACCUUGGAAUUGCCUUUGAUACUGGCUGUCUUGAGUUCGGGAGAGGUGAGUGGAAUGCCGAGUGUAGAGGUGAAAUUCGUAGAUAUUCGGCAGAACACCAGUGGCGAAGGCGGCUCACUGGCCCGAUACUGACGCUGAGGCGCGAAAGCGUGGGGAGCAAACAGG
rnacentral:rRNA from 1 species